rnacentral:rRNA from 1 species
GAUGAACGCUGGCGGCGUGCCUAAUACAUGCAAGUCGAGCGAACAGACGAGGAGCUUGCUCCUCUGACGUUAGCGGCGGACGGGUGAGUAACACGUGGAUAACCUACCUAUAAGACUGGGAUAACUUCGGGAAACCGGAGCUAAUACCGGAUAAUAUAUUGAACCGCAUGGUUCAAUAGUGAAAGACGGUUUUGCUGUCACUUAUAGAUGGAUCCGCGCCGCAUUAGCUAGUUGGUAAGGUAACGGCUUACCAAGGCAACGAUGCGUAGCCGACCUGAGAGGGUGGUCGGCCACAGUGGAACUGAGACACGGUCCAGACUCCUACGGGAGGCAGCAGUAGGGAAUCUUCCGCAAUGGGCGAAAGCCUGACGGAGCAACGCCGCGUGAGUGAUGAAGGUCUUCGGAUCGUAAAACUCUGUUAUUAGGGAAGAACAAAUGUGUAAGUAACUAUGCACGUCUUGACGGUACCUAAUCAGAAAGCCACGGCUAACUACGUG